ACUGUACUGUAUUUGGGCAAGCGGCAAAUUCGCAGCUUUCGACGGCCACGGCCGAUGAUCCGGCGAGCGAGCCGCCGCCUCCUCCCGGCCGUCCCUACGGGGCCACGUCCACGUCCUACGGGGCGGCGGCCUGGACCUCGACCUCUUCUGCGCCAACGUCCUGAUCAACCUGUACGCCAAGCUGGGGCCCUUGGCCGGCGCGCGCAGGGUGUUCGACGCCUUGCCCGAGCGGAACACGGCGUCCUUCGUCACGCUCCUCCAGGCCCACGCGCUGCGCGGGGAGCUCGAGGCCGCCGCGGCGCUGUUCCGGAGGCUGCGGCGGGAGGGGCACGAGGUGAACCAGUUCGUGCUCACCUCGGUGCUCAAGCCCGUCGUCGCCAUGGACGACGCUCUGGGGCUCGCCUGCGCGUGCAGGCUGGGCCAUGACCGGAACGCCUUCGCUGGUCGACGCCUACUCCAUGUGCGGGGCUGUCGGUGACGCAAGGCACCUGUUUGAUGGCAUCGUGGGUAAGGACGCCAUUCGCUGGACAUAAAAGGCACUCUUCGUUCAGCCGAAUCAUGUACCAGGUUGGCAUCAAUCAGCAGGGUAGUUUGCAAAACCAAAAAAAUGCUUGCUUGAUUGGACUUGGCAAAGGUUAACACUGCAGGACAAUUAUAUGAGCAUUUGGUUCCAAGCUACACUAUACGACGUAGAUUGCCAGAUUAUUCGUUUCGCAAUAUCUUUUGGCUUUUAUGGAGCCACCAAGAUCUGAUUGUAUACCGUCCCAUCUGGUUGACGUUUUCAUGCAUUGAACAAUGCGAUCCUCAUGAUCUUCCGGCCAAAGCAAAGAGGUUUGACAGUUUCUUUAAUCAGCUCUACAAAAUUUCACUUGCAUCCAGCCAUGAAUACAUUUGUAAGGCCUUUUUCCUUUUACAUGGAGCACCAUCAAUAUGGCUUAUUUGCAACGUCAGCUGCACAAAGUAAUAAAUCAAGUGCCGCUAAGGGUGCAGUUCACGAGUUACCAUCAGUGAGAAGAUAACAUUAUACCGAUCACAUUCACGAUCUUGUGAGAUCCGAGAUUCCGGGAACCCCUGUUGAGCUGCGGAGAACUGGUGCGUUUUGGCGGGAAGUCGGGAAGAUGAUGAACUGUUUCUUCAUUCACCUGGCCAGGGCAUGGUUUGAGAUCGAUUGCAGAGACGGCGCGGGGUGCGGCGCAUUCAAUCCUUGGACGGCACGGUGGAUAUCCGCCGGCACCAAGGGCCUUGUGCGGCAGAUUGUUGUACUCCAUGCGUUCUCAAGUUGUGAUGAAUCCGUGGUUGCCGAUGGCAAUGCAGGAUGGUGAGAUCUGGGAACGGCUGCAGGAAGGCGCUGUGGCAGUGUACCGAGCAGCUGAAGACUCUGGGCAACAGCCUGAAGCCAGUCGGGUCGGGUCGCUCCACAUGGCAUCAGAAAUAAGUGUAGAGACCCCGCAAAAAAUAGAGUGUCUGGGAAUUGCGCCCACGAUCCGGUUAUUGUCCAGCACAGUCACUGACGCAGAUACUUCUGGAAUCCAGCGCCGGUUGCUUUCGCCGCGGAACGUGACAAAUCGUGAAGUAACAGGGCAGAGAUUCCGCCGUUUAGCCCUACGUGUUUGGCAGCCUCCAACAGGUGACAGCGAUGAUGCCAGAAAUAUUUCAAGCACAGACGCUUCCGAAAGGAUGUGUGCUCGGCGGCCGGACUGAUGUGCCGCUUCCUCCUCUUCGGAGUUCACACUAUUUUCAUCUUCUUUCUCUGACAUCACGCACCCAAUCUCCUGCGCCGUGCUUGGCCAGAAUAACGCCCAUGCUGCCAUGCACGUCGCGCGCCGUCGUCAUAGCUUUGGUUAUUUUCAUGGUUUAUAGUUAGCAAAUUUCAUGUUCUUUUCUGCCGGCCGACCGACCGACCGGAACCCAAGUUGGAGUGAUGUCUGUUUUAAAUAUUAAAGUCAAAGAGCUCGUCGGAAUCAAACCCUCACGUCUAA